rnacentral:snRNA from 1 species
GGAUGUAAGGGGGAUGUGGCUGAGACAUCUGUCACUCCAUUGAUCGCCAGGAUAGAUUCAGCUGAUCUGGCUGCUAGGCAGGUGUCCCCUUCCUUCCUCACGGCUCCAUGUGUGUCCGUCCUAAAACUGCAAGCUCAGAGGCCUUCUUGGUAAAGGAGGACCAUUCUUUGGUCAAGAGUAUACAAAUAGCUAUGCUCUGCUAGAGCCUUCAAACAAGCUCUCAAAGUCCAUUUGCAGAACAUAGGGCAGUCAAGCUUUUAAGACUCCAGACACAUCCAAAUGAGGUACUGCAUGUGGUAAUCUGCCUUUCUUU